GCAGACAGACAGACAGACAGACAGACAGACAGACAGACAGACAGGCAGACAGAGAGACAGACAGAGACAGACAGACAGACAGAGAGACAGACAGACAGACAGACAGACAGAUAGUUGUGUGUAACAUCAACUCUAACUGUAGUUUAACUUCUUUUGUGAUUUUAUGGUAAAUUAAAACUCAUUGAGAUGAACUGAAACCUAAUUUAGGAGUAAAAUGUGUAGAAAUGAUGACUAAUGUAGACUAUAGCUGAGAGGAUGUAAUAGUUGUAAGUUGAUGAAUGAUAUAUUUAAAUAUGUGAUAUAUAAAUGUUCUUUUGUUGUCUUUAUUGGAAGCUGUGGAUGUUUAAAGGUUGAACUCUGAUGAAAUCAACAUCUGAAAUCAGUUUAAAGAGAUUAGUCUCCAUCUGGUGGAGAGACUCAGCAGCACAGAGGGGGAGGUGCAUGAUGGGAAAUGGAGGAUCCAACACUCACCAGUUUCUCAUGCUUCAUCUUUCUUUCUUCUGUUGAAGUUUUUGGCGUUUUUGUUCCUGUUUUGUGACGUUACUGUUGCUGUUUACAAGUUCUGGUUGUUUCUGAAUGUUGAAGUUUGAUUUUUUUAAACUUGUAGUCCCCUUUCUCAACGUUGUUGUGUCUUCUUUAACGUUGUUGUUCCUGUGUCUCUGUUGUUGACGUGGAAGAUAGAUGUACAUGUUGGUGAUGAGCUGAUCAAACAGCUGAAGUUGAUUUCCUUUCUCCAGCCGUCAGAAAACAAACUAGGCACGUUGGAGAUGACCAGGG